rnacentral:rRNA from 1 species
GACGAACGCUGGCGGCGUGCCUAAUACAUGCAAGUUGAGCGCUGAAGGUUGGUACUUGUACCAACUGGAUGAGCAGCGAACGGGUGAGUAACGCGUGGGGAAUCUGCCUUUGAGCGGGGGACAACAUUUGGAAACGAAUGCUAAUACCGCAUAAAAACUUUAAACACAAGUUUUAAGUUUGAAAGAUGCAAUUGCAUCACUCAAAGAUGAUCCCGCGUUGUAUUAGCUAGUUGGUGAGGUAAAGGCUCACCAAGGCGAUGAUACAUAGCCGACCUGAGAGGGUGGUCGGCCACAUUGGGACUGAGACACGGCCCAAACUCCUACGGGAGGCAGCAGUAGGGAAUCUUCGGCCAUGGACGAAAGUCUGACCGAGCAACGCCGCGUGAGUGAAGAAGGUUUUCGGAUCGUAAAACUCUGUUGGUAGAGAAGAACGUUGGUGAGAGUGGAAAGCUCAUCAAGUGACGGUACCUACCCAGAAAGGGACGGCUAACUACGUG